rnacentral:rRNA from 1 species
AGGACGAACGCUGGCGGCGUGCCUAACACAUGCAAGUGGAGCGACGAACCAGGCUUCGGCCUGGGGCAAAGCCGCGAACGGGUGAGUAACACGUGGGUAACCUGCCCCGAUGAUUGGGACAACCCGAGGAAACUCGGGCUAAUACCAAAUGUGACCUCCGACCGUAAGGUUGAUGGGGAAAGGAAGCUUCGGCCUCCGCAUUGGGAUGGGCCCGCGGCCCAUUAGCUUGUUGGUGAGGUAACGGCUCACCAAGGCGACGAUGGGUAGCUGGUCUGAGAGGACGAUCAGCCACACUGGGACUGAGACACGGCCCAGACUCCUACGGGAGGCAGCAGUGGGGGAAUCUUGCGCAAUGCGCGAAAGCGUGACGCAGCAACGCCGCGUGGGGGAAGAAGGCCUUCGGGUUGUAAACCCCUUUCAGCAGGGACGAAGCGAAAGUGACGGUACCUGCAGAAGAAGCGCCGGCUAACUACGCGCCAGCAGCCGCGGUAA